rnacentral:lncRNA from 1 species
AGUGACUAAAGCAAUCAGUGCCGAAGAGAGUAAACUCCAAGAGCUGCCCUCUGUUAUCGCCGAUUUGACACGGGAGAGGCAGCGACUGGCUCAUGAGGCCCUGAGACUUCAUCGCAGCGCAUCGGAGGUCCCUGGAUCGGCGGAAGAAGACCAACGGGUUCUUGAUUCUGCCGAUCAGAUCCGGCGUCGGGCCAUCACGGCUAUCGAUACCCUUCUGGGUAAUCUGUAAA